AUUGAACGCUGGCGGCAUGCCUAACACAUGCAAGUCGAGCGAGCGGCGGACGGGUGCGUACUGUAUGGGGACUGCCCGUUAGCUGGGGAUAACUACUGGAAACGGUGUCUAAUACCGCACACUGUCGGAUUACCCCGAUGGGAUUAGCUAGUAGGUAAGGUAAUGGCUUACCUAGGCGACGAUCCCUAGCCGGUCUGAGAGGAUGAUCAGCCAAAAUGGGACUGAGACACGGCCCAGACUCCUACGGAGGCAGCAGUGGGGAAUAUUGCACAAUGGGCGCAAGCCUGAUGCAGCCAUGCCGCGUGUAUGAAGAAGGCCCUAGGGUUGUAAAGUACUUUCAGUCGGGAGGCGUUACCGACAGAAGAAGCACCGGCUAACUCCGUGCCAGCAGCCGCGGUAAUUC
rnacentral:rRNA from 1 species